rnacentral:rRNA from 1 species
CUCCGUGCCAGCAGCCGCGGUAAUACGGAGAGGGCUAGCGUUAUUCGGAAUUAUUGGGCGUAAAGAGCGCGUAGGCUGGUUAGUAAGUUAAAAGUGAAAUCCCAAGGCUCAACUUUGGAAUUGCUUUUAAAACUGCUAACCUAGAGAUUGAAAGAGGAUAGAGGAAUUCCUAGUGUAGAGGUGAAAUUCGUAAAUAUUAGGAGGAACACCAGUGGCGAAGGCGUCUAUCUGGUUCAAAUCUGACGCUGAGGCGCGAAGGCGUGGGGAGCAAACAGGAUUAGAUACCCUGGUAGUCCACGCUGUAAACGA